UUGCAAGCCGCCGCGGUAAUACGGAGGAGGCAAGCGUUAUCCGGAAUUAUUGGGCGUAAAGCGUCCGUAGGUGGUUGUUCAAGUCUUCUGUCAAAGCGCGGAGCUUAACUCCGUAAAGGCAGAGGAAACUGAGCGGCUAGAGUGCGAUAGGGGCAGAGGGAAUUCCCAGUGUAGCGGUGAAAUGCGUAGAUAUUGGGAAGAACACCGGUGGCGAAAGCGCUCUGCUGGGUCUGCACUGACACUGAGGGACGAAAGCUAGGGGAGCGAAAGGGAUUAGAUACCCCCGUAGUCC
rnacentral:rRNA from 1 species